CAUUCACAUAAACCUCCUCAAGCUCAUUGAGAGCUUUACAACUCUUUCUGGAUUAGCCUGAUGGCACAUGGUCAGCCGAGCUAAAGGUGAACGGUGAACCCGAGUGAAAAGCAGACGCUUUGCCCAUCACUUUCCAAAGCAGCAGCCAUGCCAGUGAAAAUAUAGAGUAAUUCAUGCUUUAUACUAAGAUAAAUGACACUGGAAAAGAUGGUCCUGUGCACAUGUUUCCCUCCCAUUGGCUCUGGGUCCAACCCUGCAACCGGCACAACACACACCGUUCCGCAUAAAAGGACGCUUUCACCCCGUCUGUUCCACCUCGUCUGCACACACACGGCUGAGGAGAGACCGGCACAGAGAGAGCCAGUCGCAGGAGACACGCAGAGCAGAGCCUGCAUCAGUUUUGACCAUGAGAGCUUCGCCUCAAGUUUCCUCCACCAGAGGGAUGGUCUGGCUUGGGCUUGGGAUCAAGGAUCCAUCCUUGCAGAGUUUCAAGCAGUCUGUUACCUAUCCAGAUCUUUCAUCAGUAGACUACACCACUCGCCAGACUACACCUACAGCAAAGUUUAGGUCAGGACUUCAAAAUAUUGUGUGUUGCCUCAUUUACUUGCAUGUGCCAGGGACCUUCGUUUUUUUGGUGGGCACAGUCCAAGGUUCCCAAUCUGAUAUUCCCUCUAGAUCAUUACCCUGCUUGGGUGACUGAUUCAGUUCCCUUGUAUGUAACAGAGGCCAGCUAGUAAGAGCUGUGCAGGUAAACCUCACUCCCCUUAUCUAAGACUAGUGACGGAUGCUAGAGUGUCUUUAGUGUCCUUGUUAUAGCGCGC
rnacentral:lncRNA from 1 species